rfam:Beta vulgaris subsp. vulgaris Bvchr4_un.sca029.con0011.1, whole genome shotgun sequence.
GGUUGCGAUCAUAACAGCCCUAAUGCACUGGAUACCAUCAAAACUCCGCAGUUAAGCGUGCUUGGGCCAGAGUAGUACUAGGAUAGGUGACCUCCUAGGAAGACCUCGUGUUACAUCCC